GGGUGCGAUCAUACUAGAACUAAUGCUACGGAUCCCAUCAGUACUCCACAGUUAAGCGUCCUUGGGCGAGAGUAGUACUAGGAUGCGUGGCCUCUUGGGAAGUACUCGUUUUGGACCCC
rnacentral:rRNA from 1 species